GAAACUGUGGGUAAGAGGAAAGUACUGUAUUAUGAUAAAUAUAAUAUAUAUACAUCUAUGUUUUAUAACAUACUGAAUAUAGUAUAUAGAAUCAUGCUUUUUGCACAUCCACUUUUAUAGUUAAAUAGUUACACAUUUGCCUGACAUUAGAGUGACUUAUUUGACAUAUACAAAUACAGUCCAAUGUGUCUCAAAUCAUUUAGAAUAGAUUGAUUACUAGGAACAAAUAUGAAUAUGCUUCCACAUCUGUGUUACUGAGUCCUAAAUCGGGAAACAAUAAACGUUUUCCUAAUAUCUGACUCUAUAAAGAAAAGUCUUGUUAAGUUAUAUAUAUUAUUACGUCACCUUACAUAUCUACUAGUAAAUGACCUUUGCAGACAAAAAUACAAGGCAAAUGAGGAAAACCUUGGAAAUUUGAAUCGAUGACACUGUCAAGUCAGGUAAAUAUUUGAGAUGUUUAUUCAACCAUAAACUCAUCGGCUACGUAAGUAGAUGCUGAGUAUGACUGCUCAGUAAAAUACAGCUUCUUACUGAACACAUUUUUAACUUUCCUAUCCAUGAAUAUGCAGUAAAAAAAUUGACUCUCAAGAUACUCCCCUUAUGCUAUAUUUUCCAUUGGCCAAAUUCAGUGUGUUUCAAAAAUAGGCAUGUUUGGCAUGCACUCUACUGUGAGCAGAUUGGUGGACUGUAAAAUAGAGCAAGUUUCAUGGACUGCUGUAUUUUCAGUCUUGGUAAAACAGAGACAGUUUUUCAAAUACAUGAAUAAUAUACAUAACUAUCGUUUUUGUCCUUCUUGAGUAUAUGACCUAAAUGUCAUGUAGUUAGUUGAUUAAAAUAUCCCUGUCUGGACUAUGCAUCAAAAUUUGUUAAAGAAGUAAUGAAAAUAGAGAAAAAUAGUAGUCAGUUUUUGACAUUCAAAAUCAAAUUUGCAAUAACAUUGUAGUCAAGCUGUUGAUUUGAGAAAGUGCAUAUCAGUAAUCUAUCCUAGUCUUCAAAUUAUAGCUUUUUUUAAUGCUUAUUUAAAGGUAUCUAUUUUUCUAUUAAAGCUUAGCCAGAAAAUUAGCCAGAGCCAAGGAAAAGAAAAUUUGAGUCAGGGGGAAAGAGAAUUUGAAGCACAAGAAACUCUCCCUUUCUGACUCCGGAGAAUUGUGAGAAUGAAGAGAGAGGUAUUGGCAGUGCUUCUUAUUCCACUGAGCACAGAACUACCUUGUCCCAAUCCAGGAAAUAUCCACAUAAAAAGAUUGUGAUAAGCUGACUGAGUGGGUCUCUGGAUGAUGUUUGAGGACUUCUGUGAUGGAAUGAGGAAAAGGGGAGGCUGACAUCAACUCAAAUAUUUCAAAGAAAUCACAUCUGAGGUGGAACCCACAGCCAAUGCAAAAUAAAAUAGGAAAUUACAAUUGGAAUGGAAAAAAAUUAAAAUGUGAAGGCAAGUAUCUAGGUGGUAAGACUACAAGCUCACAUAUGUAGUCCAGCAUUACUGGUUAGCAUCAAGUUUAUGAUAGCAGAACUUAUAAACAAUCAAUAUCCCAAAGCCAAUAGACCUGAAUUAAGCCUUCAUCAGCAACUCUCCCUUCUGUCUUCCAGUUUGAUUAAAGCUCUGAGACUGUGUCUGAGCUUUAAAGUUAGAGAUCAUGUGACUUACAUUUAAAAUGCACUGCUUUAAAUAUAGUCCAUGUCUUACUCCAUUUGGGCUGCUAAACAAAAUACCAUAAACUGGGUGGCUUAUAAUAACAGAAAUUUAUGUAUCACAGUUCUGGAGGCUGACAAGUCCAAGACUUAGGAAUUGGCAGAUUUUGUGUCCCAUGAGGGUCUGUUUCCAUAGUGGAAGCCUUCUCACUGUGUCCUCACAUGGAGGAAAGGAUAAGGUAACUCCCUAGGGCCUCUUACAUGAGGGCACUGAUUCCAUCCAUGAGGACUUCACCCUUAUGACUGAAUCACCUCCCAAAAGGCCCAACAUCCUGAUACUUUCACCUUUGUAAUAAGGUUUCAACAUAUAAAUGUGUGCAUGUGGGGGCAAGACAGGGGGAACAAAUCUUCAAAACAUAGCAGCAAUGUGGCUUAACUUCCUAAACCAACAAUAAUUUUCAGAACUCAAUUGCACUGAGUAACUAUAGAAUUAUUACAACAUCUUCCCUUCAAAAGAAUCAUUCAAAGACUAUAUAGCCCCACAAAAUUAAUACUGCAGUAUUUUAAAAACAUACCUUUAGAACAUUCUAAGUCAGAAUUUUGACAGGAUUCUCAGGAUCCUGAGGAUUGUAACGAGGCUGCAGUGGUUGAAAACUAUCCAACAAAAAUUCUAAAAGUAUGGUAUCAGAACUAAGCAUUAGCUAUUCUGAAUUCAAAAUAUAUAAAAAUAGAUGUAAAACAACCAUAUCAUGUUUAAUUUCAUGCAUAUGUUUCAGUCAUGAAAACAACAGAAAUAUAUUUCAGUUGGGCUAUUGUAACUUCUACGGAUUCAACCAAAUGCAAUGCAAAUACCAUGUUUGUAUUAUAAUAACAUAUUCCUAAUAAUGGAAGUAUGCAAAAGUGGCCAACAUACUCCUUGUCCCUGGGGUCUCACAGCCUAGUGAGACAUAAUUUAAAAUUCAUAAAUGAGAGAUAAUGAAAAAAAUUAACCUUUUACUCUAUUUUCUUGUCUAUGAUGGACCCUUACCUCCUCUUCAAACAUGCUACCUAUGUAAGACCAGCAUUUACAUUAGAAAGCUGAAAAACAGAAUGUCUAUCAAUAUGGAGUCACAGAGCUAUCACCUAGUUGUUCCUAGCUCCUGUAGAUCUUCAGUAAAUGAAGCCCUGUUUGACACACAUACUUCUUCAGCUCACAGAAAACCAGGGCCCUUACCAAGCCCUCUUAUGAAGUCUUUGACUUCCUGUGCCAUGUGUUAGCAAGUGUGGGUGUUAACACCAGAUGUAAUAUAUAUCUCCUUGUUUGAAUUUCACACACACAAACUUAUAGCAUAAUUUACAAAAUCUAUUAAUAAACUAUGAAUUAUUGAAAAUUUUAGAGAAAUAUAUAUAACAACAAAGUUUUAUUAUGCCACUUGGCUAAUUCAACAACAGUCAUUUUCAAUGUCCUUCAGUUUAUUUAUUAUCACCCUGUCUCAAUUUUGAUAGCUCCUCUAUUUCUCUCUUCCCUUCUUUUAGUUCCUUAUCAAUUAUUUUACUGAAGAUACUAAGUAUUUGCCAAUACCAUUUCAGUCUGUCUGUUUUGGGUGUGUGUGAUUCUGUGUGUGCAUAUGUAUGUUGUAGUGGUGAUAUUUGUUUGCGGGGUGUAGUAAACAUUUAUUUUUAGAAUUAUUUUGCAGUCACAAGACAACUCAGGUUAAAGUCAGUUUGGGAAUUUGGGUAAGUUAUAUUUUUCUGAAAAUUUAUACAUUUAGUCUUGUAUUGUUAAAAUUUAUUGUCAUAGAUCUGUCCAUAAUGUUUUCUUAUUGAAAUACUUUGAAAUACUUUGAGUUAUAUAUUUAUAAUGUACAUAAAUCUUAAAUAUACAACACAAUGAAUUUUAACUUAUGCACAUAUUCACGUAAUUACCACCCAGAACAAGAUGAAAAACAAAUCCAGUGCCCCAUUGGUUUUCAAUAUGCCACUAUUGGGCUGAUACCCCUAAUAGUAACCACAAUUCAGCUUUCUAUCUUCAUCAUCAACUUUGACUAAUUUUGAGCUUGAUAUAAAUGAAAUCACGUGAUGUGUACUUUUUGUGCCUGGUUUAAUUUGUUCAAUAUUAAGUCUGGGAGAAGUACCCAUGAUGUGUAUAGCCAUAAUUUUAACUUGUAGAUAAUUUAUUAUAGAAAUACCAUAAUUUAUCUAUCCAUUUUACCCUUGAUAGGCAUUUGAGUUGUUUUCAGUGUUUGUAUUUUAAGAAUAAAACUUCUUUGAAUAUUCUUCUCCCCAUAUUUUACUGAAAUAUGAAUUUAUAUUGUGAGUUUUAUUAUUGUUUUAAUGUCCAUGUCAUCAAAGAAUAUCC
rnacentral:lncRNA from 1 species